CCAACACGGGAGCAGCGUCAGCACCAAGCAGAAUAUGAAGAGGUUUUUAUUCCUUUAUUCGGCUCAAGGCACAGGCCCUUCAAAGAGCGCAUUCCUACCGCCUGUUAAGGCCGGCUUCGUCCUUCUGAACAGAUCCUGACCAAGGGGCCUGUGCCGGGCAAUCCCUUCUCCUCACCUGCGUUUACUCAGAAAUGGGAGAGUAUGCGAAAAUCUGACGACCACUGACAAAAUAUGCUUCCACACAUGUGAGUAAGAAGGACCGUGUGGCAUAGGGGACACAGGUGGAAAAGACGGACUGACCGGCCCUUCCCAGACAGAUGGGUACAGGUGACAGAGAACAAGAUGAAACUGCCAUUCUAAAAGCCACAAAAGAUGAAGGCUACGCAGAGUUAUAAUAAAAAAAUGACAAACUUA